GUGCACUUUACUAUUCUAAAAAUUAUUCAAUUCCAGUGCUACAGCAGCCCCACUGCCACCACACUGACCGCCUGAUGGUGGCUCUCAGUGUCAGGUCUUGGACACAAGC
rnacentral:snoRNA from 1 species